rnacentral:rRNA from 1 species
UACGUAGGGUGCGAGCGUUGUCCGGAAUUACUGGGCGUAAAGAGCUCGUAGGUGGUUUGUCGCGUUGUCCGUGAAAAACUCACAGCUCAACUGUGGGCGUGCGGGCGAUACGGGCAGACUGGAGUACUGCAGGGGAGACUGGAAUUCCUGGUGUAGCGGUGGAAUGCGCAGAUAUCGGGAGGAACACCAAUGGCGAAGGCAGCUCGCUGGGGACGGUACUGACGCUGAGACGCGAAAAGCGUGGGGGAGCAAACAGG